AGCAGCCGCGGUAAUUCCAGCUCCAAUAGCGUAUAUUAAAGUUGUUGCAGUUAAAAAGCUCGUAGUUGAAUUUCGGGAUCAAUACGUCGGUCGUGCUUCGGUACGUACUGGCGUCAUUGGUUUCUCCCUUCUGACGAACCAUGAUGUCAUUAACUUGGUGUCAUGGGAAAUCAGGACUGUUACUUUGAAAAAAUUAGAGUGUUUAAAGCAGGCAUACGCUUGAAUACAUUAGCAUGGAAUAAUGAAAUAGGACGUUCGAUUCUAUUUUGUUGGUUUCUAGGAUCGACGUAAUGAUUAAUAGGGAUAGUUGGGGCAUUAGUAUUCAAUUGUCAGAGGUGAAAUUCUUGGAUUUAUUGAAGACUAACUACUGCGAAAGCAUUUGCCAAGGAUGUUUUCAUUAAUCAAGAACGAAAGUUAGGGGAUCGAAGACGAUCAGAUACCGUCGUAGUCUUAACCAUAAACUAUGCCGACUAGGGAUCGGAUGAUGUUAAUUUUUAAUGA
rnacentral:rRNA from 1 species